rnacentral:rRNA from 1 species
AGUCGUAACAAGGUCUCCGUAGGUGAACCUGCGGAGGGAUCAUUACACAAAUAUGAAGGCGGGCUGGAACCUCUCGGGGUUACAGCCUUGCUGAAUUAUUCACCCUUGUCUUUUGCGUACUUCUUGUUUCCUUGGUGGGUUCGCCCACCACUAGGACAAACAUAAACCUUUUGUAAUUGCAAUCAGCGUCAGUAACAAAUUAAUAAUUACAACUUUCAACAACGGAUCUCUUGGUUCUGGCAUCAAUGAAGAACGCAGCGAAAUGCGAUAGGUAGUGUGAAUUGCAGAAUUCAGUGAAUCAUCGAAUCUUUGAACGCACAUUGCGCCCUUUGGUAUUCCAAAGGGCAUGCCUGUUCGAGCGUCAUUUGUACCCUCAAGCUUUGCUUGGUGUUGGGCGUCUUGUCUCUAGCUUUGCUGGAGACUCGCCUUAAAGUAAUUGGCAGCCGGCCUACUGGUUUCGGAGCGCAGCACAAGUCGCACUCUCUAUCAGCAAAGGUCUAGCAUCCAUUAAGCCUUUUUUUUCAACUUUUGACCUCGGAUCAGGUAGGGAUACCCGCUGAACUUAAGCAUAUCAAUAAAGUCG